GAUGAAGAACGUAGUGAAAUGCGAUAAGUAAUGUGAAUUGCAGAAUUCAGUGAAUCAUCGAAUCUUUGAACGCACAUUGCGCCCCCUGGUAUUCCGGGGGGUAUGCCUGUUCGAGCGUCAUUUCACCACUCAAGCCUCGCUUGGUAUUGGGCAACGCGGUCCGCCGCGUGCCUCAAAUCGACCGGCUGGGUCUUCUGUCCCCUAAGCGUUGUGGAAACUAUUCGCUAAAGGGUGCUCGGGAGGCUACGCCGUAAAACAAACCCAUUUCUAAGGUUGACCUCGGAUCAGGUAGGGAUACCCGCUGAACUUAAGCAUAUCAAUAAGCGGAGGA
rnacentral:misc_RNA from 1 species